rnacentral:tRNA from 1 species
GCCCCUGUAGCUCAGGGAGUAGGGCGCUGGCCCCAUAUGCCAGAGGUGGCGGGUUCAAACCCGGCCCUGGCCCA